GUUAUACGCACUGCUACCGUCUUCCUAACCUUUUGCUCAAAGUGAACUCAUCAUCAUCACAAACCCUAGAGGAGGAGUAGAUACUGCUUGUUCAAGAGCAGUGCCUAUCACAUUUCAUCUCCGAUGAUUCAUAUAAACAGUAAAAUACUAGUUCGUUCUAGUUUCUCUUGUGUUCUAGAUUCAACAAUCCCUAAAUUGUAUGCCCUUCAAACCCAUCCACUGUCUUCAUCUCUCAAUUCCAUCUCAACUUCCACAAAUCCACACUCAUUUACUGUCAAUUAUCUGAUAAAUUCUUGCGGGUUGAGUCCAGAAACUGCUAUUUCAGCUUCCAAACACGUCAAUUUCAAAACCCUAGAUAGACCAGACUCGGUUCUCAACUUCUUCAAGAACCAUGGAUUCAGCAAAAGCCAGAUGUCAGAUGUCAUCAGAAAAGAACCAGGACUUCUCUUAUAUGAUCCCAAUAAAACCCUUUUGCCCAAAUUCGAGUUCUUUUACUCCAGUGGCAUUUCCAGCACUGAGCUCGCGGAGAUAGUAUCCAAAGGCCCAACCAUAUUGACAAGUAGCUUGAAGAACCAAAUCAUACCAUCUUUCAAUUUGUUGAAGAAUAUAUUUCAUUCAGAUGAUAAGUUUAUGGUGGCCUUUAAACGAUUCCCUAGGAUCAUAAAGUUUGAUCAUAGUGAUAUUACAGUCCCCAACACUGAACUUUUGAGACAACACGGCGUGCCAGAUUCGAAGAUUGUGGACUUACUGCUCAUUCUAUAUCACUCAUGGUAAAGCCUGAUAGAUUCAAGGAGGUAGUGGAGGAUGUAAAGAAAAUGGGUUUCAACCCUUCAAAAUUAGUGUUUGUUAUGGCAGUUAUGGCAUUGACGGCAAUGAGCAAAUCAACAUGGAAAAGGAAGAUGGAGGUUUAUGAGAAGUGGGGUUGGUCCAAGGAAGAAACAAUCUUGGCUUUUACAAGAUUUCCGAAUUGUAUGAGGAUAUCCGAGAAGAAGAUAAUGGCGGUGCUGAAUUUUUAUGUCAACACAAUGGGUUGGAAGUCUUCCCUAAUUGCUCAUGAUCCACUGGUACUGGCAAUGAGCUUGGGUAAGAGGAUAAUUCCCAGGUGUUCAGUACUUCAAGUUUUGCUGUCGAAAGGUUUGAUAAAGAAAUCCAUUAGUCCAGCCACAUUGUUGAAGUGCAAAGAGAGUUUGUUCCUUGAGAAGUUUGUGACCUGUUUUGAGGAAGCUCCUCAGUUGUUGAAACUAUAUCAAGAAAAAUUGGACAUUGCAAAAUAACAUGGUCAUGCUUAUGAAGGCAAACAGUACAGCUCCAGGUGGAAAUACAAUUUGAAUGAUAAUCAUUGUUCCAAUUUCGCAGCUUAUUAUCCUGGCAAACAAGGGGGAGGGGAGACUCAAACACGGGCACACCUGCUCAAGAGUUGGGCGCUUUGCCAACUUUGCCAAUGUUUUUGCCUCCAUAACAAUUUGACUAACACAAUGGACUGCUAUGGGUGCAGGACUGCGUUCCCUCGGCAGCCGAAUGAAGGUCAACAUUUUGAGACACGGAAGAAGGUAGAUAUCAGCAAUAGGAGUGUGAGCUCCAUUGCUCCAGCCACUAAUUGAAGGCCUCAAGGCCAUUGCUGAUUAGCAGUCACGCUCUACUGCAACAACACUGUGUCCCAAGAAAAGAUCAGCUUCAAAGCCUUCCUUUACGACCAAAAAUUCUGACAUUCCAGCUCCAGGUGGAAUUCAAUGUGAAUGAUAUUCAUUGUUGCUUUGAUUAGGCAUAAAAAAUGGACAGUCCAGUUUUGCAGCUUAGAGUCACUAGAUUUUGAACGUUGUCCUUUAUGGUUAUAUUUUGAGUUCAUAAAUCUAAACAUUGUAGCAUGGAAGACAAUUUCUUCUUUUGUCUCUGUUAGAAGUGCCUCAAAUUGAAUGGUGUGAGUGUGUUGUGGUCAAAUGGUCAAAGUGUGUUGUGAAAUUAUGAUACAUAUUUUAUAUAUACAUAUACAUAUAUAUACACACACACACACACGAGAAUGUGAUAUGGUGGUUAGAUUGAAUACAGGUGGUGAUGGAAAUGGGUUGAGUA